rnacentral:rRNA from 1 species
UGGGGAAUAUUGGACAAUGGGCGCAAGCCUGAUCCAGCAAUGCCGCGUGAGUGAUGAAGGCCUCCGGGUUGUAAAGCUCUUUCGCACGCGACGAUGAUGACGGUAGCGUGAGAAGAAGCCCCGGCUAACUUCGUGCCAGCAGCCGCGGUAAUACGAAGGGGGCUAGCGUUGUUCGGAAUUACUGGGCGUAAAGGGCGCGUAGGCGGUUUGUCAAGUCAGGCGUGAAAGCCCGGGCUCAACCUGGGAACUGCGCUUGAGACUGGCAGGCUCGAGUUCGGGAGAGGAUGGUGGAAUUCCCAGUGUAGAGGUGAAAUUCGUAGAUAUUGGGAAGAACACCGAUGGCGAAGGCAGCCAUCUGGACCGACACUGACGCUGAGGCGCGAAAGCGUGGGGAGCAAACAGGAUUAGAUACCCUGGUAGUCCACGCCGUAAACGAUGAGUGCUAGACGUCGGGGCCCUCAGGGCUUCGGUGUCGCAGCUAACG